rnacentral:tRNA from 1 species
AUACUUAUAGUUUAUUAAAACUUGUGAUUUGUACUCAUACAAUGAGUUGUGAAUUGCAACUAUA